CGACUGGGGGCAGAGUACAGAUUUUAUCCGUGUCCUCUGUACAGCGUGCGAUUCAGGAAGCCCCUGUUUGGGGAAAUAGGUCACACCAUAAUGAGACUGUUAGUGGACUUUAGAAAUUACCGUUACAGCCUACCAACGGUGGCGGGGCUUACUGUGGAUCUAGAAGCUCAAAGCACCUUAAUAAAGAUCCCAACCACAGGCU